AAGACCGGUAACUGGGGCUAAGUCGUAACAAGGUAGCCGUACCGGAAGGUGCGGCUGGAACACCUCCUUUCUGGAGACUCUG
rnacentral:rRNA from 1 species